GAUUUACUUGCACCAUGUUGAAGAUCCCUUGUAAGCAUUUCUUCCGUAGUCUAUAGAAAUAAAUCGCUCUUUCAGGGACUUUUAACCUUGAUUUCCUUUAUUCUGCAAUAGAUUGUAUAGUUUGAGAUUCGAACCUCAGACAUGGGUGUAGAAGCUUUUAAUCUUUCACCAUUAAUAAAUUAUAUUAAUUCAUCUCUAUUUUAGAUGUUUAAUUGUAUGUUUGAAAACAUAUAUUAGAUUAUGUAAUUCUAGGAUUAGUUUACUUUUAAAAACUUUAAUUAAAUAAAUAAAAAAAUUUAAACCAUCAACCAAUCAAAUAAUAUUAAUUCAUCUAUAUAU
rnacentral:lncRNA from 1 species